AAAGCUGUAGGUGAUUUCCUCCGCUUGAUCGUCCGUGAGCAUCAUGUCCGACUGGAAGGCGCCCGGAGUUUCUGUCUGUUCAGAUACUGCGGUACACAAUUGCCAAAGCCGAUCGAUCAAGUCCAAUGGGAAUCAUGUUGGUGGUCCUGGGCGGGGGUUCCAGGCAAGCUAAGUGACACAGCCUACGAACGUCUCGUUGACCACGCCUACCAUCACUCCACAACUACCCAGCCCGGUACAACUACUCCAACGAUUAGUGGUAGAUGCGAGGGAGUUGAAGGAACAUGUGGAGGGUUUUUCUUUGCCGACUCUGGAUGUGUAGCAUCCGUUAAUUAUGGACACGAGGUGUACAAUGACGACAAGGAG